GCUUUAAAAGCAUCUGCAGUCUCCGCAAAAGUCUUACAUUCACCGAAUGCCUUGCACUUGUUCCAGGACUCACUGCAAGACCAGAACACUCUGAAGGAUGUCUUCCCAGCAAUCACAGUGCCCAACCAACCCACAGCCAUGCCAAGACAACCCACAGAAAUGUCCACCAAAGCAAGAUGCUGAUUGCACUCCACCAAAAACGUGCUCACCUCCCCAGGAUCAACAGAAGAAGGCACCUCCAUCCUGUCCACAGAAUCCAAAAUAACAUCUCCUGGAGUUAAGAAGAGAGAAGGCAAUUGGUGGGGGCAAUGUCAAAAGUGGACUGCUUCCUUUCCACAUGCUCAUAACUAAAAACUCAGGUGCUGAUUACAGAAUUUUCGUUGUGGCAUCUGGUCGGCCACUAUGAGAACAGGAAACGGGACUAGAUGGGCCUUUGGUCCAGUCCAUAAUGUGCUUGAUAUUAGUCCAAAUCCACAUGAUUCUCCUUUGCAACCCCAAUGCUUACUGUGAAGAGAUAACCCAGCAUUGAUGCUCAAUUGGCUUGCAAGAUAUUACAUAAUAUACAGGUCUCACUUUGCCUUUCGCCAUACCACAGUUGUCGUUCUUUCUCUUUUCCAUUCUGGAAGAAAACAUAAAACAUGAUAUUUUAUAAUAAAAAACACACACUCAUGAUUUGACAAGUCAUUCAU